AUCCCAUGAUGAGGACAGGUGGCCACAUACUCCUGCAAACGCUCCCAUGCUUCAGGAAUAGACUCAUCCAUCGUCUGCUGGAAACUUGAAAUCCUUCCACGAAGGGC
rfam:Oryza nivara chromosome 3, whole genome shotgun sequence.